rnacentral:lncRNA from 1 species
AGUUCAAAUCAUAAUACACUUGGAGAGGAAGACACAGAAUUUGAAGAAUCUGAAGAGGACGACGAAGAUUUUGAUGAGGGAGACACUGAACAUGAAGUUGCAGACACAACUGAUGGACAGUCAGCAGACACAACUGAUGGACAGUCAACUGUUGAACCCUCCAUUUCUACCCAAGAAAAACAAACAGAUCCGCCUAGAACCUCUUGGAUUAAUCUUCUUAAAGAUAACAGAAAUCAAGGUAAGGGAUUACAGCUUCAAAUGUUUGAUAAUCUGCCGGAGGAAGUUGUGUUGGGGUUCUUGGAUGUAGAUGAUAUUGAAUCUUCUUGGGGCUACUGCCUUGUUGGGCACGUUGGUGGCAGGUUUCUUGAAUAAACAGCUUUCCUUAAGAUGUGUGAUGAAUGGAAAAUCAAGUAUCAGUACUUUAUACACAGUGGUGGGUGGCUUGUUUUGAAAUUCAAAAAUUAGGCUGCUCGAGAACAGGUUCUUAGUGGGGGACUGUACUCCAUUUUUAAUGGGCCAUUGACGCUCCAUACCAUGCCCCGAUGUUUUGAGUUUGACGAUAAGGAAAUUAGUACGAUGCCAGUAGGAAUCACGUAACCCAGAUUACCAUUGGAUUGUUGGAAUCCCAAUGCCUCAGGAAGGAUUACUUCUAAGGUUGGAAAACCAAUUGCUACAGAUGUACAUGUACUUACAUCUACUAAAGGUAGGUUGUCAUGUGCAAGAGUUUGAGAAUAUGCCAAAGUUUUGCACGGUUUGUAAAAUGCUUGGGAGCCAUUCGACGGAUGGCUACAAUACGAAAAACAACAUCCAACUAUAGCCACCACCUUACUGCAAAAAAGGUUGACGUGGUGAAUGAUACCCAGAACAAUGCCGAAACUCGAUUGCAGGCAAACCGAAUUGUGUGAAACAGCUUGGAGCAAGGGGAUUUGUGCAGCUGGGACUGCAUGAUCAUGUUCCCCUCCUUGAAUGGGCCAAGAAAAAGAAGGGAAAUAAUAAAUCUAAGGAGCAGGGUCUGGUUUCAAACUCUAAUGAUUUGGAUUCUGUCCAGCAAAAUGCGAAAAUGGGUAAGGGGGAUCAAACUGAUCUUAACCAACCUUAAUCAAGCAUGAGUUGAUCAGGGGGUUGCAGACAUUGAAAUCCCCAAUUUGGACAGUUUCCCCAAUGAGAAACGCAAAGGGAAACUUGAAGAAAAGCCUACCAAAUCAAAGAAGAAAGAUAGGAAAUGUUAAAGAGGUCAAGUCUCACAUCGAAUAAAGAUGAAAACAUAGAUCAACUUAAAAAGAAUUUGACUACUCUUCUUAACAAGGUUGACCUUUUAAGAUAGUACUCUAAAUCUUAACAUAAUAUCAAAGUUUAUUAAGCUCAAACGAGCUAUUCAAUCAAAUUAAGACUCAUAAAAUGAACAUACGAAUGUCAAAAUUGGUCUACACAAAACAAGCUACCAUCUUGCGGAAAC